rnacentral:rRNA from 1 species
AUUGAACGCUGGCGGCAUGCCUUACACAUGCAAGUCGAACGGCAGCACGGGAGCAAUCCUGGUGGCGAGUGGCGAACGGGUGAGUAAUAUAUCGGAACGUGCCCAGCCGUGGGGGAUAACGUAGCGAAAGCUACGCUAAUACCGCAUACGAUCUAUGGAUGAAAGCGGGGGAUCGCAAGACCUCGCGCGAUUGGAGCGGCCGACAUCAGAUUAGGUAGUUGGUGAGGUAAAGGCUCACCCAGCCGACGAUCUGUAGCUGGUCUGAGAGGACGGCCUGCGACACUGGGACUGAGACACGGGCCAGACGCCUACGGGAGGCAGCAGUGGGGAAGUUUGGACAAUGGGCGCCAGCCUGGUCCAGUAAUGCCGCGUGCAGGAUGAAGGCCUUCGGGUUGUAAACUGCUUUUGUACGGAGCGAAAAGGCUUCCACUAAUACUGGGGGCUCAUGACGGUACCGUAAGAAUAAGCACCGGCUAACUACGUGCCAGCCGCCGCAGUAAGAC